GGCAGUGUAGUGUAAUGGGUAAGGGGCUAGUCUUGCAACCUGAAGGUCACCGGUUCGAUUCCCCAGUAGGACACUGCCA
rnacentral:tRNA from 1 species